UGUUAGAGGGGUCUAAAUACAGCACAAACAACAUUUUCCAAAAGACCAAAAGAGUGAAAAAGUAUAUUUUAACAAAACGCAUUUGACUAACAGGUCGAACAACAAAUGUUCUUAAACCCUGCUGACUGCCAUUGGCGAUUGCCAAAUAAACGGAUCACCGAUGUAAUAAAUGGAUCUUAAUUUUAAAUUUAAUACUAAACAGAAAACAAUAAACUUGCGGAGAAGAUGAUAUACCGCAAACAAAAGGUGCAAAGGUUUUUGUACACCAUAUCCGGAUUUCGACAAAUAAUGUCUCUUCAGUGAUGUUAGGAAUCGAAAAGGUAUUUGGAAAGCCCAACAAUUUACCUCAAUUUAGGAUAGACUCUUGAAUUUUGAGGAGUCAAAAUAGGAUGAACGGAUUAUAUAAACCCUACGGCAAAUAUAAUACAAGCCCAAACGAAAAAAUAUAAACAAGUCUAAAUUGAAAACAACGUUCAAACCUAUGAUUGCGUUGGAUAAAAACCGCAAUUUUUAUACGUGU